CCUACGGGAGGCAGCAGUAGGGAAUUUUGCGCAAUGGGCGAAAGCCUGACGCAGCCACGCCGCGUGAUCGAGACGCCCUUCGGGGUUUCAAGAUCUGUCAGUGGGGACGAAACUUGACUGUACCCACAGAUGAAGCACCGGCUCACUCCGUGCCAGCAGCCGCAGUCAUACGGGGGGGUGCAAGCGUGGUCCGGAAUCAUGGGGCUUAACGGGUUCGUAGGCGGCACGUUAAGUCUGGUGUUAAAGGCAGAGGCUCAACUUCUGUACUGCACUGGAUACUUGCGAGCUAGAGUGCGGUAGAGGUAAAGGGAAGUCCUGGUGUAGCGGUGAAAUGCUUAGAGAUCAGGAGGAACAUCGGUGGCGAAGGCGGUUUACUGGGCCGUAAUUGACGCUGAGGAACGAAAGCGAGGGUAGCAAAUGGGAUUAGAUACCCGAGUAGUC
rnacentral:rRNA from 1 species